AUAAAUAAAUUGCCUAAUAGGAAAAAGGCAUUCAUGAUGAUGAUUGUGUUUACAUUUGUGAUUUUAAUGGAAAGCAGCGAUCAGCCUAGCGUUGGUUGAAUAUUUUGGACCAUAAAAUACAGGAAGAAUAUCAACCAUAAAGCAGAGCAACAAUAAAAUACAGGAAGAAUCAAUCAGAUGCACAAUUCAAUUUUAUUUAGAUUGAAACACAAUAAAGCAGAGCAACAAUAAUUCGAGUGAAUUUUAUAGGGAAGGGUUCAAAAUAACUCAAUGCGAAAUUAGAAUUUCAUCACAAUGAAGAUGAAACUCUCAAUUAGCAGAGGUUUCCCUUAGUAAGGGUAUGCACUUAGCUUCUGCAGGUUCGAUGAUGAAGCACAAGUUUGCUUGGCCAUAAAAAAGAAAGGAUGGCAAUGAGAGAGAUUGAUCGGUUCUUUGUACUAUUUUGAUUUUGUUUAUGCUUUCAAUUUCAGGUGGCGGUUCGUUUCGAUAUAGGUUUCUCCGAUUACGCUAACGGUUACCUAUAGUAUUUUGAUCAGGAACUCAUAUUUUAGUGACACUCAUAUGCUAUACCAGUUCCAGCCUUCAAUAACCAAUGAAGCUAGCAGCUACUGUCAUGUUCCACGGUGCGCCAUUCUCGACUGUUGAUUCAAAAGGGUCUCAGAUGCCUGCUGAGCACGAAACAAAAACACCGUUUUUCGUUGUUCCGAAUGAAGCUAUAGCAAAACUGUCAUUAUAAAAUGGUUUUGGAAUACUUCCUAUAGAGAGUGAAAGUACAUCAACACCGUCGGAAACUUAAAAAUGUUAUGAAUA